rnacentral:lncRNA from 1 species
CGUCGUCGUCACCAUCGUCGCCUCAUUCUCCCUCUGCCGAAUUCUCCUUUGCAUCCACGACACCCCCGCCCGAGUCUCCAGCCCUGGAGUAUCUCCGGCCGAAUCCGCCGCCGCCGCCGAUCGAGAUUGGCAACGUCAGCCGCCGCCAAACAACUACGACGUCCAACUCCAGCCCGCGCCGCCCUACUCCAUCGGAUCGUUCAACUACCUCGUCGAUGACGACUCCGAGAUCAGAUUGUCCAAUGCCAGAAACGGCUCGUCUGAUAAGAAAGAAGAGGUGAUUGUUGUUCUCGGCGAGCUCCCGCCGUCGCUGCCGUCAAAGGCCAGUCUAGCCGCUGACGUGGCCUCGGGAAGGAGCUGGCUUAAAGAAUUCGUGCAUAGACUCUCCAGCUCGUCUACAAAGCUCCGGCAGUAGCCGUCGGAGCGAGAUAGGCGGAACG